rnacentral:lncRNA from 1 species
CAAGUAACGAUCCGGAUUUUUACGAUCGGCCGCGACCCGAAGGUUUUCGGUCGGUUCGUGAGGAAAUUAGCGCUCCUCCUGUUACACAAAGACCGCAGAGUUUUAAAAAAAGUAUAAAGUCUGCAGCGAAAGAAUUUGAGGAUCGUCGAAAACAACGUAGAAAGGAAGAAAAGCGCUGGAAACCAACUAAAAGAGCAACGGCACAGAAACUUAACGACGAGAAAAAAUGGGAAAGACACAUCGAGAAAGAGGAAAAAAGAUUUCGUAAGGAAGUAUUUCAUUGGAAAUCCGAAGCUCAGAAAUGGAAGAAGGAAACACAAAGACUUCGUAAAAAUGAAAGGGCACGUCAAAAAUAUGCGGAAGUUUGUUAUCGUAAAUUAAUGUCAGGCGAGAUGAGAAUUCGCGGUGAAGAUUUCGAACCUGUUUUACAACAACAUGCGUAUCGAAGACGUGCCCAGGUGUAUACGAUCACACCGAAUAAGAUAUACGAUCCACCUUAUUUUUUAGAUAUGACCGGUCGUUACGUUUGCAAUCUCGUAGAUUCGAUCGACAGAUCAAAGAAAGUAUGGGUACGUUUAGUCUGUGACAUGAAAAAAGUGGAUAAAAACACUGGAGAUACUGUGGAGACAGAUAGGUCCGGUUUUUAUUCAAGAACUUAUGGAAUUACAGGACAAAGUUUAAGGGAUGAAAUUUGGGAAGAGAUGCGUGAAAAGAUUUUGGAAUCUUUUGCAAAAUAUCAACGAAACGGUAGUGAU